rnacentral:rRNA from 1 species
UACAGAGGGUGCUAGCGUUGUUCGGAAUCAUUGGGCGUAAAGGGCGUGUAGGCGGUUUGUUAAGUCAUGUGUGAAAGCCCCCGGCUCAACCGGGGAACGACGCAUGAAACUGGCAAGCUAGAGUACCGAAGAGGGGGGUGGAAUUCCCGGUGUAGUGGUGGAAUGCGUAGAUAUCGGGAGGAACACCAGUGGCGAAGGCGGUUGCCUGGAGCUUUGCUGACGCUGAUGGCGCGAAAGCGUGGGGAGCGAUCCGG